UCUCGUGAUAAAAUACAAUUCAGAGGUCAAAAUUCAACCGUUUAGAUUAAUCUGUUCUUAACACUAAUAAUAUGUUUUGUCAGUACAUUAAAUUGUAAUAAACCGAUAUCUUUUAUAUUCCGGUCAGUCGCGUGUGAGUGUUGUUUGCUGGACCAGUCGUCAUUCAAACAAUAGUUAUACUUACGUCGAUGCAUCAAUAUUAUUCAAGGCGUAAAACAUAAAACUUACCCACGAUCGCUUGCUUGGCUUAACAUUAACAAGGUACUUAAAUGUUUUAGCUGUGAGUCUAUGGAGUCGAAGGAUGAUUCAAAAGGGCUAUGUGAGCCAAAGGGGCUGUUCAUCAAAGACAGGAAACAAGAUCAAGUCGAGCUGAGAUUUAAAAAUCUAUACUAUACAGUGUCACUUGGCUUUACAAAAGG